rnacentral:lncRNA from 1 species
UUACUUGUAUUUUGCUUUUAUUCUUAUAUAUCAACAUACAAGGUUACAAUAUAAAAGCAAUAAUUACCCUUCUAAGCAUGUGUCCAAAAUGAGUGUUUUUUUACAUAUAUGCAUAGUUUUCAUAAUUAUUGUUUUGAUAGAUGCAUAAUAUUCCUUUCUUCUGAUUAGGUACUUCCUAUACUAUGAUAUCCAAGAUGUUGAUAGGAGGAAGUUAAGGAAACCCAAGGUGAUGGAGAUACAAAUUUGUAACAAUACUAUUCGUCAGUGAGAUUCCUUCAACAGUAUAGUCACCUCAUCACUUCUACUUCUACUCCCCAAUACCCUUCUCCCAUCUUACUCCUUACUCCCUCCAGUCUGAGUCAAAGCCAGCCUCUCCCAAUAGGUUUUUAGAAGCUAUAUUUAUCUAAGUAUAAUACACUCCCACUUUGAUAAAAUGGUACACCAGGUGAAGAGUUGAAAUCCAAACGCCCUUGCCUCCCUCCUCUAGACUUAACCCAUUACCAAAUUUAUCAUUUCUUCCAGAUCAGAGCUUCCCAACUUGGUUGGAAAGUUGCAGGGGUGUGAGCUAUGGCUCCCUUAGCCCUUAGGGCGAUCUAGUUUUACAACAGGUGGAGUUCCCUCUCACUUAACUGAGGAG